AUGGCUCCCCGACAGAAGACAAUGACAUGAUAGGAGUGGUGACACAAGGCUCUUACUGUUACAUUCAAUAAUUGAUUCUCCUGGAUGGAUUGUGACUCCCUAAAGGUUGCAAAGAGAGAAAGAGUUGAAUUUGCUACUUACCAAGAGAAGAAAAACAACACAAGAGUUUGGUGAAUGGGCAUGCUUUGGAUUCACACUGGAUCCUGGAAACAGAAUUGUCCCCUGUGGAUGUAGAAGUAUCAUGGUAACUCUCCUCAGGAACUCCAUAAUGAAGGAGGUUAUCAUCCAGGAGUUAUACCCUGCUUGUUUUUAAACCUGCAAAGGGAAGAUACUGUGAACAAAGCAGUGAUGGCUCUCAGGUUCCUCGCCAGGCACCAGGAGAGGAGUGGGGCUGUUUUGGAUCACCUGAGCACAGGGCUGGAUGCAAGUGGGUGCUCAACAUCUGAAAGGGAUGGCGAAAUAAAUUACACAGAUCCCUGUGCAAGUCUGAUCAAGCUCUGAAAG